rnacentral:misc_RNA from 1 species
UCUCCGUAGGUGAACCUGCGGAAGGAUCAUUAUUGUAUAGCCGAGGUGCGAGGGCUGUCGCUGACCCGAAAGGUCGUGCACGCCCGAGUGCCCUCACACACAUCCAUCUCACCCCUAUGUGCACCACCGCGUGGGUCCCCCUUUGGCUUGUUCGGAGGGGGGCUUACGUUUUCACACAAACUUUGUAUGCAGUGUAGAAUGUAUUUUUUGUUUUUGCGAUCACGCAAUCAAUACAACUUUCAACAACGGAUCUCUUGGCUCUC